rnacentral:rRNA from 1 species
UACGGAGGGGGCCAGCGUUGUUCGGAAUCAUUGGGCGUAAAGGGCGCGUAGGCGGCCGCACAAGUCGGACGUGAAAUCCCUCGGCUCAACCGGGGAACUGCGUCCGAUACUGUGUGGCUCGAGUCCUGGAGAGGGUGGCGGAAUUCCCAGUGUAGCGGUGAAAUGCGUAGAUACUGGGAGGAACACCGGUGGCGAAGGCGGCCACCUGGACAGGUACUGACGCUAAAGCGCGAAAGCGUGGGGAGCAAACAGG